UACGAAGGGGGCUAGCGUUGCUCGGAAUUACUGGGCGUAAAGGGCGCGUAGGCGGCCGAUCAAGUCGGGGGUGAAAGCCUGUGGCUCAACCACAGAAUUGCCUUCGAUACUGUUUGGCUUGAGACCGGAAGAGGUAAGUGGAACUGCGAGUGAAGAGGUGAAAUUCGUAGAUAUUCGCAAGAACACCAGUGGCGAAGGCGGCUUACUGGUCCGGUUCUGACGCUGAGGCGCGAAAGCGUGGGGAGCAAACAGG
rnacentral:rRNA from 1 species